rnacentral:lncRNA from 1 species
AAUCUGUGUUAUUUUGUUCCUCUCCUCGAACUGAAGAGAUGUUGUUCAUGUUAGCAUGGAUGUUUGUCUAGUCUCCUCACAUAAUGAAAUGAUGUGCUUGACAUGAAUAAGGGUACUUGAUACAACCAUUUUUUCCGAUUUUGUUUGGCCAAGAAUGUAUCUGUAUAAAAUCCAAAUGCAACCGCAGUUGGGUGAUGGAUUACAUUAUCGCUCGUUUCUUUAACUUCUAAGAUUUCUACCUGCGAUAAUUUUGCGAUAUCUUGUCUGUCAUUGUGAUUUUCUUUCCCUGAUUGCAACCAUACGAAGACUUAGGUUGAGGAUUUAGAACGAAUAUUAGCAAGCUUCUCUUAUCUAUAUUGUUAAUUUGUUAUAGCCUAGAAAGGAUGAUCAUGACCCUCCCUGACAGUCACCGGUGAGAUCGAGCUCCGGCGAGGUUGGAUGGUGAAUGCGGGGAUAUGGAAAAUGCAGAAAGUGAUUUUAUUUUUUUUAUUAUUAAUAUAAGUCCUGUCGG